UUUUACGCUCUCAAAAACACAGUUCGGUUGGUAGUCCGAACGUAGCAAAGCUAUCAGUAACCUGCCUCCUUGGUUGUCCAUCUUUCUUAAUUAAUUU
rnacentral:ncRNA from 1 species